rnacentral:rRNA from 1 species
GUCCCGUACACGAAAGCACACAGGUUGUGAACUCGAAGAGUAGGGCGGGACACGUGGUAUCCUGUCUGAAUAUGGGGGGACCAUCCUCCAAGGCUAAAUACUCCUGACUGACCGAUAGUGAACCAGUACCGUGAGGGAAAGGUGAAAAGCACCCCGGAAGGGGAGUGAAAUAGAACCUGAAACCGUGUGCUUACAAGUAGUCAGAGCCCGUUAAUGGGUGAUGGCGUGCCUUUUGUAGAAUGAACCGGCGAGUUACGAUUUGAUGCAAGGUUAAGCAGUAAAUGUGGAGCCGUAGCGAAAGCGAGUCUGAAUAGGGCGUUUAGUAUUUGGUCGUAGACCCGAAACCAGGUGAUCUACCCUUGGUCAGGUUGAAGUUCAGGUAACACUGAAUGGAGGACCGAACCGACUUACGUUGAAAAGUGAGCGGAUGAACUGAGGGUAGCGGAGAAAUUCCAAUCGAACCUGGAGAUAGCUGGUUCUCUCCGAAAUAGCUUUAGGGCUAGCCUCAAGUGAUGAUUAUUGGAGGUAGAGCACUGUUUGGACGAGGGGCCCCUCUCGGGUUACCGAAUUCAGACAAACUCCGAAUGCCAAUUAAUUUAACUUGGGAGUCAGAACAUGGGUGAUAAGGUCCAUGUUCGAAAGGGAAACAGCCCAGACCACCAGCUAAGGUCCCAAAAUAUAUGUUAAGUGGAAAAGGAUGUGGCGUUGCCCAGACAACUAGGAUGUUGGCUUAGAAGCAGCCAUCAUUUAAAGAGUGCGUAAUAGCUCACUAGUCGAGUGACACUGCGCCGAAAAUGUACCGGGGCUAAGCAUAUUACCGAAGCUGUGGAUUGUCCUUUGGACAAUGGUAGGAGAGCGUUCUAAGGGCGUUGAAGCAUGAUCGUAAGGACAUGUGGAGCGCUUAGAAGUGAGAAUGCCGGUGUGAGUAGCGAAAGACGGGUGAGAAUCCCGUCCACCGAUUGACUAAGGUUUCCAGAGGAAGGCUCGUCCGCUCUGGGUUAGUC